ACAGCAGGGGCUGGCCUCCCACCCAGCACUACUCAGUCUCUGUGCCUGUGCAGACGGGGUCCCCCCAGACACCCCUAAAUCUCCACUUUCCUUACCAGGGGCCACCAGGUGGACGAUCGUAAUUACUGAGCUGGCAAACUCGAGAGCCGAAUGCAAGACUCACAGUUCCCUUCCUGCUGGUACUGAAGACGUGCAACUUAAGACCCCAGAAUCCAGGAGUGUCAGGCCUGGGCCACAUCUGUACGUUUAGUUUUCACAAUGGGCUGAACCUAACGGCUGUCCCACACCUGCUUUCACAACUGCAAAAGUAACUAGCGUGCACAGCAGACCCCAAGCAGCCCCUACGUGUUCAUGGAACAACAGGACAAAGAGGACGACACGGCGUUCAACUUACGCUCCAGGUCCUUGCCACGUCCAUGUGAUGGUGUCCUGGGGAGGAAGAGGCAGGGUCAGUCAGCAUGGGGCCUGCACCCAGGGCCUGCACCAAGCACCUGCGUGUGCCGGCCUCUCCCUGCACCUCCCACCCCACAGAGGCGCUGCAGCCAGGGGGAAGGGAGGAGGGUGCUAGAGCUCCAGCUUCCCAGAGUCCCUGAGGAUCCAGGACUCGGACCAGCCCCCCAGCCUGAGGUCCCCAGAGCCUCUAAGGACCCAGAGAACCACCACCUUACAGGUCCCCAGAGUUCCCC
rnacentral:lncRNA from 1 species